CUUCUCCAAUGCAAUGUGGUGAGAUUGGUCUCGUCACAUCUCUCCCCUUUUCCAAACAGACUAACAGGGUAUCUGACCUCCUGCCGGUCAGUGUCCUUGUUAGUCCAGCAGCCUCAACCCGUAGAGAAGAAGCUUGUCCAUGUCCAGGUGCCUCACCACGGCUGUGCUGGGUACGGGUACGCUGACUUGGUGGGUUGCUGCGUGGGCAGAGACCAGCGGCACUCUGCCCUGUUGCCAG